rnacentral:rRNA from 1 species
ACUCAAAUGAAUUGACGGGGCCCCGCACAAGCGGCGGAGCAUGCGGAUUAAUUCGAUGCAACGCGAAGAACCUUACCUGGGUUUGACAUAUGCCGGAAACGUCUAGAGAUAGGCGCCCCCUUGUGGUCGGUAUACAGGUGGUGCAUGGCUGUCGUCAGCUCGUGUCGUGAGAUGUUGGGUUAAGUCCCGCAACGAGCGCAACCCUCGUCCUAUGUUGCCAGCGGGUAAUGCCGGGGACUCAUAGGAGACUGCCGGGGUCAACUCGGAGGAAGGUGGGGAUGAUGUCAAGUCUUCAUGCCCCUUAUGUCCAGGGCUUCACGCAUGCUACAAUGGCCGGUACAAAGGGCUGCUAUCCCGCAAGGGUGAGCGAAUCCCAAAAAGCCGGUCUCAGUUCGGAUUGGGGUCUGCAACUCGACCCCAUGAAGUCGGAGUCGCUAGUAAUCGCAGAUCAGCAACGCUGCGGUGAAUACGUUCCCGGGGCUUGUACACACCGCCCGU